CCCAGGCAGGGUGGGGGUGCGGGGGCUGCCGGGCCCCCUGGUCCCCUCGUCCCCUCCGCCCUCCUGCCCUCCUUCCGCGCAUCGCGCACCUGCGGGCGCUGCGGGGCGCCGUGACCUUGGGAGGCGCCGGGGCCGAGCAGCGCGCCGGGAGCCGGUGCGGGGCGGGCGGCGGUGCCAGAGCGCGGCGUGAGAGAGGGAGCGGGUGUGCGUCCGUGUCCCUCGGUCUGUGUGCGUGUCUGUGUGUACGUGCGGGUGCGCGGCGCGGCAGGGCGGUCGGGUGCUGCUCCCUGCUGGGAGCGGGGGGAAAAGAGGGAAGAGGGCAGCCCGGCAGGGCAGUUCGGCAGUGCCGGAGGGUGCUGCAGCCAGGGUUUGUCAUAGGUGACAGGUUUUGGAGGCGCAGAUCGGCGGACUUACGGAGAGGAGCUGUGGUGGGGCUUCAGGAGAUCGGGGAUGUCGCCGCUUACUGCUCCGUAGUGCGUUUUUCCUGAUCGCCUCCGGAGAAGCUGCAGGUCGAGCUGCGCUUACAUGUAUCAGGGAUCACAGUCUUGCGUUGCAUGGAUAAUGUCUGGGAAGACAAGAUAAAUAGAAGCAAGACAGAGUUGAUAAGUGGUUCCAAAUUCAUAAAUCACCAUAGCUGAAAUGCUCCCUGUGACCCACUCUUAUGAAAUUCAGAGCCCCGGGGAGCGUGUACUCCAGCGGAGAGAGCGGCACAGGAGCCAGGGACCGGCACUAGAGGGCAGGACAGGCCGCGGGAAGCGGGGCAGCGAGCGGGGACAGCCGGGCUGGGCAGGCACCGAGGCAUCCACCGCCACAGAAACACUGAGCCCAGGCCUGGGCUCCCUUCACACACUGCACUUCACACGCUGCGCUUGACUCUUCUUCAAGGUCUGGUCAUAUUCCUGAAGUGAGGCCCCUUCAGAAGAAGGGGAUGGGUGUCUGUUGUCGCUGAAGUUACAGAAAGUGAGGUAGAAAAUGAGCAUUUACAGUGAUGGAAGGAGGUGCUCAAUGGCCCAAACUCGUUCCUUCAGAACACAAAGAUAACAGAAGACUAUGGACUGGGAAGUCGGAGUGCCAUGUUAGUAAAACAUGGGCCAGGAACAGUGAGUCCUUUGCAGAGACGGCACUUUGCGCUUGUGUUAAGGACUGACUUCAUUCUUGCUGACCAAACAAAGCCAUCGGUGUGCAGCUCUGCAGGGCUUCAGAGUAAGACUCCUGGAGGUUUGUCUCUGCACUCUUGUUCCAUGGUCCCAUUAGAGCUGUCCUGUUCACAGCUGUCCACUUAAGAAACGUGGAGCUGAAAUCCUAUUUCACCAGAGCUUCAGGAAGUCUGUUCUGGGACAGGGGACUGUGUGAAAUGACAGUAAUGCAAACCAGUUUAGGUGAUCUGCUUGGCAGGAAUUUGGCAAGCAGAAUCAUACUUCUUCAGAGAGGUCUUUGCCACCAGCUAAUUUUUAUAUUUUCCAUUUAAAUCCCUGUAGCUUUGCUUUGGGUCACUGCAGAAAACAUGGCAGUUUUCUGACUCCCUCACAUGCCUUGGACUGAAUUACUUAUCAGCAGAAAGAGGGUAGAAUGAACAGCUUUGACUAAAAUAAGAAGUAAUUGAGAUUUACCAUGGCUUUAUGUAUCUAACAAUACUGUUGAAAGGCCUGCAGGCUCUUUUCAGAAAGGUGGAAACCACGGAAACAGAAAGAUAAAACAGACAUGUGAAGAGUGGACUGAAUAGAAACCUGGGAAACAAAGAGGGGGAAAAAAAGAGAAAAUACCUUUCAGAAUCAGCAGUCAAAAUUGAAAGGGCAGAAGGAUCAUGCUCAUUCCUGCCUUUAUGGUUCCAUCAGUGCUUUGUGACUCUUAUCACUGUAAGUGCCAGUUUAUUUUUUUGGCUGGAUUUCCUGCUGGCCUGUGACUCCUGGGCUACCAGGGACAUGAUGUGGACCAGGCAUCUCUUUUGGCAGAGGUGAGGAAAGGUGAGGUGUCCGUGACCUGCUGCUCUUGCCAGCAGAUUUCAUUCGCACAAGACUGAGAUGAAAUGACAAAGGGCACCCCUGGCCCCAGCAGCAGGGAACUUCUGCCGCUCUGGGGCAGCCCAGGCUGGCCUCAGGUCCACCCAUGAGCAAGAGAAAAAGAGUUCCUCAUUCAGCACUUAAUGAGAGAAGCACUGAAACCUGUGCUGCUUGUACUAGGUGUGCCAAGGAGGUGGAAAAAGCAUCCCAGCCCUGGCAGGAGGCUUAGCUGGCUGAAUCAUCAACUCCUUGAACAGGUGAGAGAUGGCUCAAUGACUGAACUGCAGCUUCCCAAAGUCCAGGUUAAAAAAGCCUGUCACCAUGAUAUUUUCUGAAAAAUCCCUUCACCAGGAUUUUUUUCUCCUGAGAAGCUAAGAAGCCUCAGAAAAGAAAUAUUUUUUAAUGAAUCCUUGAAAACUCUUAAUCUUCAGAUUCCGUCUCCUGACAAUGAAUUCUGGAACAGUGACUUAGGAAAGGCAAUAAAGCAUUAAGUAAGCUGUAGUACCCAAAAAGUGAUUAUUGCCAUGCUUUCAUAUGAACUCACUUGAAUGAUGUGCUUGCUGAAACUCAAGGCUCCAGUCAAGAAUGAAAAUCUGAUCUGAUCUGUCUGCACAAAAGUACUCUGGCAUAGUCUGCUUGGAGAGAUCCAGGAUUGAAAGUUCGACCUAAGCUUAUUUAUCAACUCCACACUUACUGUGAAAUUCCAGCAGCUUGGAGGCUGUAAUGGAUCAGAUCUCUCAGUUCAAGCCAAGCUGGUAACAAGAAAGUGAAUCCACAUUUCUUACUUCCUGUGGAAAACUACUCAAUGUAGUGCACUCCUGAAGAAACUAGGAACAGCAAAGCUAAACCCCAAUGUUUCUACAGGGGAAAAUGUCUACUGUUUGUGUUCUUGUUACUGAAAAACAAUUUUCAACAAAUGAUCACAGGGUGCAUAUCCUUGAAAUUCAUUGCACCUUCAGAGCUCACUACUGCAGAGUGGAGCAGAAGAACAGUCCUCAAAACCCUGACAUAGAUUUUCUGCUUACACUGUCAGUGGGACUUUGCUCAGGAGAAAGGGGUUGGACCCAAAUAGUGGGUGCUAAUGUCUCAACUUUACUCAUGAGGCAAGCAGUUUUAAAUGCACACUUUGCCUAGACAUAUAGAACAUAAAAUCCAUUAACUAAAAUCUUGUAAUACCUUGAAAAAAUACAAUUGCAAUUCUAGUAUAUGAGUAUGUGAGUAUAGAAUGGUAUAUGAGAUUAUUUGCUAUCAGAUCAAAGAUAAAGUUUCUUCUCAUAUAUUUGUUGUUUACAACUAAAAAUCGAACAAAUCUUAGCCAAAUAUAGCUGUAGGAGUGCAAAAAUUAAAUAAAAAUAAUUCUGCAAAGCAAAUAGAGAAGCCUUCAUAUCUGGACUGACAGCUGCUCUGGCACCUAAUGUUUCAACAGCAUGCAAACUAUAAACAUACCCUACACUCAGAGUUUUGCUGUAUUUCUUUACUGACCCAAGAAGCAGCCAUAUACUAAGCUUUUGUUUUUUCAAGCCAAACUAAUAACAAGUGCAGAACAAAACCUUCUCUAAAGCAGUUUUUCUCACUUUUCUUUAAAAUGUUUUGCUGGGACACUCUGCAUGUGUCAGCCUUGCAGCUGUCUAGACAAAGAGUGUUCAGACAUAAGACUUUUGCCAGCCAAUGUUCGUAUGCUACUAACUAGGUCCUGGAGAUUCUUUGUCCUCCAAGAGUUGAAGAUGCUGAGUUCCUGAAGAAAGAUGUGAAAUAUUCAGGGGUCUGGAGUGAGAGAAGGAGAAAAAAGGAUGCUCAACCCCCUUAGCAGGACAGUUGUGAUUUUCACAUGGAUAUGAGCCCCAUCUCCGAGUUCCAGAGACACUGCAUUCAUUAUGAACAGUGACUGCUUAUCCUAAGUCAUUGCUUGGGCCAAGCAUUGGCAGGAGUCUACAUGCCUUCUCCUAGGACUAGUUUCUGUGUUCCAGGGUAAAGAUGGAAAGAAGAACCUGCCAAAGGCCAUGAAGUACCUUAGUGGCUUGAGCCGCCGGACUCCAGUCAUUGACUGAAUGCUUUUGCAAGGCAAGACCAGUACCAGUGUUGGCCUCAGGGCUACGUUACACUGCAUAACAACACUGUGGGAAACUCAUCCUGGCCUGGCUGGAGUGAGCAAGACACUGGGGAGACACUGAACUAUUUGAGGUGAAACCCAUCAGCAUCUCUUCCUAGGUCUGCCAGAAUAAACAAAGGGAUAGAUGUCAGUUAUGUGACUUGUAUGUAGGGCAAAUAUACACUUAAUCUUCUAGUAAAUCACCUUUUUUCACACAAAGAUCAUCAGUGAUCCCUAGAAGAACAGCUGCUCAGACACAUUGGGCCCUGGCCUCAGAAACCUCCCACACCAAUGUCAUGAGUAAAAAGCUAUAAAAGAGUUGGUCUGCCAGAUUGGAGGGUCAAAUAGCAGCCUGAAAAGGCAUGUAAUAGGAAAGAGUGUAGCUACUGAUAUUCAUUCCUCUUUCUUAAUGGCCUUAUGCAGAUGCAAAUAGCUAGACUUUUUUAAAAGAAAAAAAUAGGUGACCCUCACAAAAAAUUAAUAAUUUCAAUUACACUUUCAUAUUGCUCAGGUAUGUGCUUCAGCUAAGAAUUUGCACUGAUUUCAUUAUUUUUAUUAUUUAAAAAUAUAUAUAUUGGAAAGUAUCAUCUUCUGAAACACUUAUCUAGAAAGUUCUGCCCGCUAUCAACCUCUUCUAAAGAACAUAAUUAUUUUUAUUUCCUUACAAGAGAACUAGGUAGAGGGAAGAUGAGAGUGAUUUAAAACCUCAGUAAAAAAGAACACAAAUUAACUAGUUUCAAAUAACAACCACUAAGCAAACCAAGCUUACUCUUCAUUAUAAGCCAUCAAUUAAAUGCAUUAGCUCAUGAUUUGUGUUCAGCUCAUAUCUACAGAAAUUGCAUUAUUACUGUAUUCAUAAAUUUUAGAAAAACAGUAAGCCCACAGAAAUAGUGUCUUUAUCAUCUUAUAAGAGAUAGAAACAUAUCUGCAAUCAUGAAAUUUCAGGUGGGCAGGCUUGUAUUUUUCUACUCUUUAUAAAGGCCAUUUUGAUUUUUAAUACCUGACCAAUUUGCUUAGCAAAACAAAAUGUUCUUUUGUAUAUCCAUAUGUGCAUACCUCUGGCAGUUGGCUCCUCUAUGUUUGAAUCUAUUGGCCAAAUUUGAUAAAGUAAAAAAUCAUCUUAAAGUUUUCUCUCCUGCAGCUUGCAUGGAGCAGCCAAGAAUAUGGGAGGAGACCUAUCCUUGCCCCCUCUGGGGAAGGGCUAUGACUUUCCUUGGGUUUGCUGCAUGGCCAUUUCAAAGAGGACAGAGCAAUCAUUCCCACUGUCAAUUCUCACAGGUCACAAAGGCUUUGGAAAUUUGUGUGCCAUGGAUUUUACCCUGACUCACUCCAAAAUGAAUUACUUACACAUGGCAUAAUAAUGUUUGCUUUCAUUGAAGAAGUCCAAAAUGCCAAUCAAUACCUAAGCAGUGAGGAAGUUUAUAAGGGAUGGUUGGUCACCAUGGGCAGCACUGACAGAGCAUUUAUCAGUUUGUCUAUUUCUGGUUUUGCCUUUAUCAUUAAAAGAGCAAAAUAAAAACAUGACACCUGAAAUUGUGUACACAAGUAGACACAGUUUUUCUCCUGUUGUAUCUGUGCAAGUAUCUCUUCAGCUACUCUUUCUGAAGCUUAUAAAUUACUUUGGAACUGCAACCUAAUUUACUGAUUUUAAUAAAGACAUUUAGGAAUACCAUUCUGCAUGUCAUUUUACUGCAGGAGUUACCAUUAGCAGAGUGAACCAAAAUAGUCAAUUUAAUAGAAACUAGAUAUGUCAAGAGUUCACAUCUACUUGAAGCACUUUGCUUGUUUCAAUAAAUCCAUCAAGGAUUUAAGGCAGGAACCUAUCUCAUAAGGCACCUUGCAGAAGAAACAUGAUAGCAAAGGUCAGAACAUUUCAAGCAGGAACAGGACCACUGUUGAAAGGUUCAUGAACUUUCAAUUUAGGAGCUGAUUUACCUCCCAGUAUUCCUGGUCUAGACACAGUCAUUAAAGCAAGAAGCUCCUUCUCAACUGACAGUAUUUCUAUGCCCUUCUCAGCAUUUAAAUGGGAAGGAAGAAGUAGUUUAGAGGUAUUUUAAAAACUGGCUAAAUGAACUCAUGAUUUUGAAUGUCCCUCCUACAUGUCAUUUGUGUGGGAAUGCAGAAGAAAGCAGUGCAACAGUAAAUGAAGGAAUGCCAAGGAUUUCUGCCUUGAACAGAUGAUGCCUAAGAACGAUUCUGUACAGUAAUGCCAAGUAGUAAUAUCCUAAGAAGUGUGGUUUGAAUGUGUGGUAAGAUUUAGUUCUAGAGAAUAAUAAAAUCUAAUUGAAGGAUAGGUUGCGACCGCUACAAGAGAAGCUCAAACUGAAAAACUAAAGAAUAACCAAGUCAGAAGGGCAGUUCUGAAAUUAAAUAGAGCAAAGAACUAAAUACUAUUUAGCAACAGCACUGGUGUUUAGAAAACAUUGGGUACAAAGUCUGUUAUUCCAACCAUCUUGAAAUCAUCUGAGGAUCUCAGUGUCUCAUACCCUCACUGCAGCCAUGUCCUUUCUUCCAGCACCAGCAAACAUAACCUUUCUACUGUUUGCUAACAUAAUUCUCUUGUUCUGUCCUUUGGAUUGUGUCACCACCUCUAUGAAUCCUGGCUGUCUUUUUUUUGUCACAUUAAACACACAUAACUCACUUUGACUUUCAAGGUCCUUCACAGACUUCUUUCUCUUGACCUGUUAUCUGAAACUGGGAAUCCAAGUGCCAUCUCUAGUCUCUGACCAGCAAGUGUGCUCUUAGGCUUCUAAGCAAGCAUUUUCAAGCAAGACAAAGUGAUAAUGGCCCCAAUGAUAUGAGAAAGAAGCACACCUGCUCCACACUGAGGAGGUAUUUUAUUCUUGGAAAAGGAGGGAAAGGGAGCUGUUUCCUUUGCUACUUUAUUCUGGAAGGCAGCUAGGUGUGGCAGGCAGCCAACCAUAGACAGGUUUGUUAAAAGCACACUAACUUCUCUAGAAGGAUGCUUUUUCCCCUGAUUCUGAAAUUAGCUGUAGUUUCAGACAAAAUACUAUUGCACAUUAAUCAAAAUCAGCAGUGCAAUGUGUAUUUAUACAGCACAUAUGUUUUGUGUAUAUACUGAUAGACACAUAUGUAUACAUAUACACAGACAGACAGUAAGCUGUAAAAACACUGAGGCAUAGAUCUGUUCAGUGGCAAACAGGCUUUGAGGCAAAGGAAUGAAACAUUUUCCAAACCAAGCCAAACCUGAUGUGUCCUGAUGACCACGACAAGGGAUUGGCUGUGUGUCCUUCUGGAUGGGUGGCUUUCCCCAGCUGACAGACUGGAGUUCAGCUCCAGUGAGCUGCCACUGCUGCCACACAGCAGGGCAACAGGACAGAGCAUCUGUCCCAAUAAUUGUUUGUGAUCCCAGAUCUGAAAAUUGAGCAAAACAACUCUGAAUUCUUCUCAUGGUAUUAACAGCUCUGCAUAUAGGUUGCAAAAUACUGUUUUAUUUAUUAUUUUUAAAAAGGGUCCUAAUAUCUGUUCAUUUUCCUAUAAUUGCGAUAAUGAAAUAAAGAAUAGGCUUAAAUUUGAAAAUAAAUCAGAUUUAAUUAAGUUUCGUCCCGUUCUAAAGAUUUGAUGAGUAAAUUCUACCGAAAUAUCUAUUACCUGAAUUUUGACUCUUCUUCAACAGUAAAACCUAUGUAUAUUUUUAUAUAAAAUUUUAAAUUAUCUAUAUCUACCUCCUCUUGCCCCCCUCAGAGAGCUCCACAAAGGGAGACUGCAAGUUGAUGGUCUCCUGCACUGCUGCAGACAGGUAACCCAGGAUAACUUCUGUGAUCAACAUGUUGGGGCUGGAGAAGAGGCUCCCAAUGAGAAACAUAAGAAAGUGGACUCCCCACACAUUUACCAUGGAUAUCUUUUUGUUUGAUGAAGUUUAGAAGGGGAGAUCCUAUCUAAAGUUAAUUGUGAAAGAGCAUAAUCAUAUCUUUGGUGCUACUGCAGCUACCAAUUAAUUCCACAGCACUUUCUUGUUCAUGUUCAAGAUUGUCAAUGACAUGGAUGCAGGUACAGCCAUACCACUAAAAUGUUUCAAGUUUUGGGAAGACUUGCAGCACCACAGAGCAUGGCCAUGUCAUUUCUGAGCUCUGCAGUAGAUGAAAAGUGACUUGGAGAAGGGGCUGCAAAUGAGCUGUGCAGUGUGUCUGCAUGUCUCAUUUUGUUUCAGAGGGGCUGUUUCUAAUUAGCAUUGAUGUCACCAAGUGUAGUCAGGUAUACCUGGUAUGAAAGUCAAAUACAGUAGUAAUUCAUUGUGUUCUACCCCACCAAGAUGAAUACUGGGUGUCUUUUUUCUGACCAGGUAGCUCUGAACACAGUGCUCCCUGCUCCUGUAAUGCAGAGCUGGAUCACACAGUGGGAAUGUGCAGGUAAGAAGUGAGGUAUGACGGAUGUUACUACAACGUGAUCUGAAUUCAGUCAUACCAGUGAUUAAUUUUUCUUGUACUUGGGGAAAGCUGCAAAGCAAGGGGUAACCUCUGCAGAAUAACAAUGAACACAGCCAGAGAGAGCAGGAAAUUGCAUGACACAUGAGCACAUUCUAAAUGCUGACUCACAGCACCCCAUAUUUCUCCCUGCUGCCUUCAAUACUCUCCCUAAAUUCCUCAUAUAUUCAGAUUACAGUGUGAUUCACAGGGUCCCUGAAGGGCCCCCACCCCCAUUCUUUGGCUUUUUAUUUUCCUUCUACUCCUACUCUUUCCAUUUUUCCCCUGAUGCCUGCUGUACCAUUGUUUUCUGGAUCUAUCAUCAUUGCUUCCAGCAGUCCCUGAACAUAGGAACAGGGUCUGUAAAACAACUGCCAAAACCCUUUUUCACACACUUCCUAUCUGCAGCUCUCCUGGGCCGAAUUUAGUCUACUUUUUACUAAUUAUAAAUACAGAUAAAAUGAAAACAACUGCAUGGAAGAGUCAGAUGACACUUUCUUUCGAGAGAUUACUUCAGCUUUUAAGUUUCCAAAUUAAUAAACAUGGCUCUGGAGGAUGAGGCUUACCUCACCUGCAUUUAUAUCUCCUUUGCAAAGCAUGAUUGGGAAGCCACCAUAUCAUUAAAAAACCCUGAGAUUACAUGUUCCAGAUUUGCAAUACCAUGAAUUGCAAGGAAAAAAAACCACCUGCUCUAGGAUAUGCAACUCAGUUUAACAAAGAACCUUAUAAAUCAACUUACCUUGUAACUCACAACAAACUAAGCAUUUUGGAAAAUCAAUUUUUGCUUCAAUUUUCCUUUUUGUAGUGAAGGAACAUUACCCUUCUCCCAUCACCAAGCUCAGCAAUGUCUUCCUGCCCCUUAACAUGGCAGCCAAGAAUCCAGGCACUGCCAGAGCAGCACAUGCUUUGUAUUUCCCGAGCUCAGGGGUAAAUUACCUUUCAGUUUAGUGAAUUUGGAUACAGAUUGAACUUUUCCACUCUGCAAUUAACUUGAGAAGUUGAUUCAUAUGAUGUUGCAAGAAAGCUAUUGUCAGAAUAGACAUGAUCUCACUAAAAGAAUAGAUGUGGAUGUCUCAAGGAUGUGGCUAUUUUGGUGUCAUGUGAAAUCAGUACUCUUGUAGUUCAAACAAAUAUCUGAAAAAGAUACUGCGCAUCAUCAGUUUCUAUAAAGAUAUAACACAGAGGACAUU